AUUGAACGCUGGCGGCAUGCCUUACACAUGCAAGUCGAACGGCAGCACGGGAGCUUGCUCCUGGUGGCGAGUGGCGAACGGGUGAGUAAUACAUCGGAACGUACCCAGGAGUGGGGGAUAACGUAGCGAAAGUUACGCUAAUACCGCAUAUUCUGUGAGCAGGAAAGCGGGGGAUCGCAAGACCUCGCGCUCUUGGAGCGGCCGAUGUAGGAUUAGCUAGUUGGUGAAGUAAAAGCUCACCAAGGCGACGAUCCGUAGCAGGUCUGAGAGGAUGAUCUGCCACACUUGGACUGAGACACGGCCCAGACUCCUACGGGAGGCAGCAGUGGGGAAUUUUGGACAAUGGUGGCAACCCUGAUCCAGCCAUGCCGCGUGAGUGAAGAAGGCCUUCGGGUUGUAAAGCUCUUUCGGCGGGGAAGAAAUGGCAACGGCUAAUAUCCGUUGUUGAUGACGGUACCCGCAUAAGAAGCACCGGCUAACUACGUGCCAGCCGCCGCCGUAA
rnacentral:rRNA from 1 species